CCGCCCUCCGUCCGGGGGGUGGCCAGCGCCCGCCAGAGGACCAUCGAACUCCGGUCAGUGAACGUUGCCGUCUGAAAAACAAUCAAUAAACUAAAACUUUCAACAACGGAUCUCUUGGUUCUGGCAUCGAUGAAGAACGCAGCGAAAUGCGAUAAGUAAUGUGAAUUGCAGAAUUCAGUGAAUCAUCGAAUCUUUGAACGCACAUUGCGCCCCUCGGUAUUCCGAGGGGCAUGCCUGUUCGAGCGUCAUUACAACCCUCAAGCUCUGCUUGGUGUUGGGCACCGCCCUUCCGCGGGCGCGCCUCAAAGACCUCGGCGGUGGCGUCUUGCCUCGAGCGUAGUAGAAAACACCUCGCUUUGGAGCGCACGGCGCCGCCCGCCGGACGAACCUUUUGAACUUUCUCAAGGUUGACCUCGGAUCA
rnacentral:rRNA from 1 species